UACGGAGGGAGCUAGCGUUGUUCGGAAUUACUGGGCGUAAAGCGUACGUAGGCGGAUUGACAAGUUGGGGGUGAAAUCCCAGGGCUUAACCCUGGAACUGCCCUCAAAACUAUCGAUCUAGAGACCGGGAGAGGUAAGCGGAAUUCCUAGUGUAGAGGUGAAAUUCGUAGAUAUUAGGAAGAACACCAGUGGCGAAGGCGGCUUACUGGACCGGUACUGACGCUAAGGUACGAAAGCGUGGGGAGCAAACAGGAUUAGAAACCCCAGUAGUCC
rnacentral:rRNA from 1 species